rnacentral:tRNA from 2 species
CGUCUAGAGGCCUAGGACACCGCCCUUUCACGGCGGUAACAGGGGUUCGAAUCCCCUAGGGGACGCCA